rnacentral:tRNA from 2 species
GGGGGCAUAGCUCAGGGGCAGAGCAUUUAACUGCAGAUCAAGUGGUCCCUGGUUCAAAUCCGGGUGCCCCCU